GGCAUGGAAGAAGAGGAUAAUUUCCACCCGUUCUUAAGAUGCUAAUCUGGUCGGGAUCUAUAUAGAACCAUGGCAUAUUUGUGGAGCCUCCCUGCUGUUGAGUCAGUUAUAAACAUGGGCAAAGAGUGGCUUCUUCAUAUAAUGGCACAACUGAGUGAUAGCCAAAGGUGUAUUCUUCUGCUAAUUUUCUAGAGGUCGUGGUAUAUCCGUAAUGAGGUUAUUCAUGCGAAACCUGCGCCAACCAUGAUUGCUUCGGUAAUUAACGUUCUUGCGGAAAUCCGCUGAUGACCUAUUAGGCGUCAAGCUGAACUCGCAUUGUGAUCCGACAAAAGGUAAAGGUUGCAGCACUCAUG
rnacentral:lncRNA from 1 species